AACAAAGCUGGCGGCGUGCCUAACACAUGCAAGUCGAACGCGAAAAUCGGCUUCGGCCGAUGAGUAAAGUGGCGCACGGGUUGAGUAACGCGUGGAUAAUCUACCCUUCAGUUGGGAAUAACUUAUCGAAAGGUGAGCUAAUACCGAAUAAAACUGCCUGACCACGGUCGGGUAGUCAAAGAUAGCCUCUGCUUGCAAGCUUUCGCUGAAUGAUGAGUCCGCGUACCAUUAGCUAGUUGGUGGGGUAAUGGCCUACCAAGGCGACGAUGGUUAGCUGGUCUGAGAGGAUGAUCAGCCACACUGGAACUGAGACACGGUCCAGACUCCUACGGGAGGCAGCAGUGAGGAAUCUUGCGCAAUGGGGGAAACCCUGACGCAGCAACGCCGCGUGAGUGAGGAAGGUCUUCGGAUCGUAAAGCUCUGUCGGGUGGAAAGAAAUGUAUGGGGUUAAUAGCCUUCAUACUUGACGGUACCACCAAAGGAAGCACCGGCUAACUCCGUG
rnacentral:rRNA from 1 species